CACCUAUGGGUGGUUCGUAGACCAGCUCCAUUAUUGCAAUUCUUAAUCGAUAAUAAAGAUUGAUUGUUUGAAGAAAUUACAAAGUCUCUCUCACUUUUCGCCCGGAAUGUCGUGGAGGAGGAUGGGAUGCUGACCUUCAUCUGCUGAACGCUCCUAAGGACCUGGGUAAACUGUGCACAGGAGUAACCCUCAUUGGGUACUCAGGGCAGACUACACUCCAAGAGUGAGCAGAUGAAACCUGCCUAAGAUCCAAGAAGUACGCGUUGGCAGGUUAUGCCGAAGGUGACCACAGAUGGUAUCUAGAUGCAUGAAAGGGAAAAUUUGACUGUGAACAGUGUGAACCUAAAUCCCCUCUAACCGGCUGAAGUAAUGGCGAAAAAUGGCAUUCAGUAUGGUCCUUUACCACCUAUACCAUGAGACCUGAGUCCGAGCCAGCAACCUGUACCCAGUAUCCAGUCGAUGCUAUCAACUGCCUGUUCUCUCAUGCCUUCUCUCUCAGGAGUGUGACAGGCGUCCACGUGGAGUGAGUCUGUUCCAAACGUCUCUCAUGUUGCUGGUGUACUGGUUGGCAAAUGGACAAGACACAAUGGACUGUAAAGGACAGUGGCGGCUCAGAGGACCUGAGCCCUAGGACCAUGCCUCAGGACUACCUGGCUUGAUGACUCCUUGCUGUC